UACGGGGGGGGCAAGCGUUGUUCGGAAUUACUGGGCGUAAAGGGCUCGUAGGUGGCCAACUAAGUCAGACGUGAAAUCCCUCGGCUUAACCGGGGAACUGCGUCUGAUACUGGAUGGCUUGAGUUUGGGAGAGGGACGCGGAAUUCCAGGUGUAGCGGUGAAAUGCGUAGAUAUCUGGAGGAACACCGGUGGCGAAGGCGGCGUCCUGGACCAAUACUGGCACUGAGUGAGCGAAAGCCAGGGGAGCAAACGGG
rnacentral:rRNA from 1 species